GCUUCUUUGGUACAGUGGUAGAACAACUUCCCUUCACGAAGUAGACGUCAGUUCAAUUCUGAUAAGAAGCU